rnacentral:rRNA from 1 species
AUUGAACGCUGGCGGCAGGCCUAACACAUGCAAGUCGAACGAGUGGCGGACGGGUGAGUAAUGUCUGGGAAACUGCAUGAUGGAGGGGGAUAACUACUGGAAACGGUAGCUAAUACCGCAUACCAUCAGAUGUGCCCAGAUGGGAUUAGCUUGUUGGUGGGGUAACGGCUCACCAAGGCGACGAUCCCUAGCUGGUCUGAGAGGAUGACCACCCUCACUGGAACUGAGACACGGUCCAGACUCCUCCAUGACUCAUCAUUUUCUAAUAUUGCACAAUUGGCGCAAGCCUGAUUCAGCCAUGCCGCGUGUAUGAAGAAUUCCUUCGGGUUUUAAAGUACUUUCAGCGGGGAGGCGUUACCCGCAGAAGAAGCACCGGCUAACUCCGUGCCAGCAGCCGCGGUAAUAC